rnacentral:rRNA from 1 species
GGUUAAGCGACUAAGCGUACACGGUGGAUGCCCUGGCAGUCAGAGGCGAUGAAGGACGUGCUAAUCUGCGAUAAGCGUCGGUGAGGUGAUAUGAACCGUUAUAACCGGCGAUUUCCGAAUGGGGAAACCCAGUGUGUUUCGACACACUAUCAUUAACUGAAUCCAUAGGUUAAUGAGGCGAACCGGGGGAACUGAAACAUCUAAG